GAUGAACGCUGGCGGCGUGCCUAAUACAUGCAAGUCGAGCGAACAGAUAAGGAGCUUGCUCCUUUGACGUUAGCGGCGGACGGGUGAGUAACACGUGGGCAACCUACCUAUAAGACUGGGAUAACUUCGGGAAACCGGAGCUAAUACCGGAUAACAUUUGGAACCGCAUGGUUCUAAAGUGAAAGAUGGUUUUGCUAUCACUUAUAGAUGGACCCGCGCCGUAUUAGCUAGUUGGUAAGGUAACGGCUUACCAAGGCGACGAUACGUAGCCGACCUGAGAGGGUGAUCGGCCACACUGGAACUGAGACACGGUCCAGACUCCUACGGGAGGCAGCAGUAGGGAAUCUUCCGCAAUGGGCGAAAGCCUGACGGAGCAACGCCGCGUGAGUGAUGAAGGGUUUCGGCUCGUAAAACUCUGUUAUUAGGGAAGAACAAAUGUGUAAGUAACUGUGCACGUCUUGACGGUACCUAAUCAGAAAGCCACGGCUAACUACGUGCCAGCAGCCGCGGUAAUACGUAGGUGGCAAGCGUUAUCCGGAAUUAUUGGGCGUAAAGCGCGCGUAGGCGGUUUCUUAAGUCUGAUGUGAAAGCCCACGGCUCAACCGUGGAGGGUCAUUGGAAACUGGGAAACUUGAGUGCAGAAGAGGAAAGUGGAAUUCCAUGUGUAGCGGUGAAAUGCGCAGAGAUAUGGAGGAACACCAGUGGCGAAGGCGACUUUCUGGUCUGUAACUGACGCUGAUGUGCGAAAGCGUGGGGAUCAAACAGGAUUAGAUACCCUGGUAGUCCACGCCGUAAACGAUGAGUGCUAAGUGUUAGGGGGUUUCCGCCCCUUAGUGCUGCAGCUAACGCAUUAAGCACUCCGCCUGGGGAGUACGACCGCAAGGUUGAAACUCAAAGGAAUUGACGGGGACCCGCACAAGCGGUGGAGCAUGUGGUUUAAUUCGAAGCAACGCGAAGAACCUUACCAAAUCUUGACAUCCUUUGAAAACUCUAGAGAUAGAGCCUUCCCCUUCGGGGGACAAAGUGACAGGUGGUGCAUGGUUGUCGUCAGCUCGUGUCGUGAGAUGUUGGGUUAAGUCCCGCAACGAGCGCAACCCUUAAGCUUAGUUGCCAUCAUUAAGUUGGGCACUCUAGGUUGACUGCCGGUGACAAACCGGAGGAAGGUGGGGAUGACGUCAAAUCAUCAUGCCCCUUAUGAUUAGGGCUACACACGUGCUACAAUGGACAAUACAAAGGGCAGCUAAACCGCGAGGUCAUGCAAAUCCCAUAAAGUUGUUCUCAGUUCGGAUUGUAGUCUGCAACUCGACUACAUGAAGCUGGAAUCGCUAGUAAUCGUAGAUCAGCAUGCUACGGUGAAUACGUUCCCGGGUCU
rnacentral:rRNA from 1 species